rnacentral:rRNA from 1 species
CCUACGGGCGGCUGCAGUAAGGAAUAUUGGUCAAUGGAGGAAACUCUGAACCAGCCAUCCCGCGUGAAGGAUGAAGGGGCUCUGCCUUGUAAACUUCUUUUGUCUGGGGCGAAAAAGCUCGAUUUAUCGAGAACUGACGGUACCAGACGAAUAAGCACCGGCUAACUCCGUGCCAGCAGCCGCGGUAAUACGUAGGGUGCAAGCGUCAUCCGGUUUCCAUGGGUUUAAAGCGUCCGAGUACGGCAGUGGUGAAAGGCUGUGGCUUAACCAUGGAAUUGCCAUUGAUACUGCAGAGCUUGAAUGAGGUUGAGGUUGGCGGAAUGUGACAUGUAGCGGUGAAAUGCUUAGAUAUGUCAUGGAACACCGAUUGCGAAGGCAGCUGACUGGACCUAUAUUGACGCUGAGGCACGAAAGCGUGGGGAGCGAACAGGAUUAGAUACCCCAGUAGUC